GUAAACGGCGGCCGUAACUAUAACGGUCCUAAGGUAGCGAAAUUCCUUGUCGGGUAAGUUCCGACCCGCACGAAAGGCGUAACGAUUUGGGCACUGUCUCAACAAUAGACUCGGUGAAAUUGUAAUCCCGGUGAAGAUGCCGGGUACCUGCGACAGGACGGAAAGACCCCAUGGAGCUUUACUGUAGCUUGACGUUGGGUCUUGGUACUACAUGUACAGGAUAGGUGGGAGACUAUGAAGCAUGGACGCCAGUCUGUGUGGAGUCAUCCUUGGGAUACCACCCUUGUAGUACUGGGAUCCUAACCAUAGGCCUUGAAUCAGGUCUUGGAACACCGUCAGGUGGGCAGUUUGACUGGGGCGGUCGCCUCCUAAAAAGUAACGGAGGCGCUCAAAGGUUUCCUCAGCACGGUCGGAAAUCGUGCGAAGAGUGUAAAGGCAAAAGGAAGCUUGAUUGCAAGACAUACAGGUCGAGCAAGGACGAAAGUCGGACUUAGUGAUCCGGUGGUACCGCAUGGAAGGGCCAUCGCUCAACGGAUAAAAGCUACCCUGGGGAUAACAGGCUUAUCUCCCCCAAGAGUCCACAUCGACGGGGAGGUUUGGCACCUCGAUGUCGGCUCAUCACAUCCUGGGGCUGUAGUAGGUCCCAAGGGUUGGGCUGUUCGCCCAUUAAAGUGGUACGCGAGCUGGGUUCAGAACGUCGUGAGACAGUUCGGUCCCUAUCCGUCGCAGGCGUAGGAAAUUUGAGAAGACCUGUCCUUAGUACGAGAGGACCGGGAUGGACGUACCUCUGGUGUACCAGUUGUUCUGCCAAGGGCAUGGCUGGGUAGCUAUGUACGGAAUGGAUAAGCGCUGAAAGCAUCUAAGCGCGAAGCCAACUUCAAGAUAAGAUUUCCCACCGUAAGGGUAAGACCCCAGGAAGACUACCUGGUUGAUAGGUCGAAGGUGUAAGUGCAGUAAUGUAUUUAGCUUAUCGAUACUAAUAGGUCGAGGACUUGACCAA
rnacentral:rRNA from 1 species